rnacentral:rRNA from 1 species
UACGUAGGGACCAAGCGUUGUUCGGAUUUACUGGGCGUAAAGGGCGCGUAGGCGGCUUAACAAGUCACUUGUGAAAUCUCCGGGCUUAACUCGGAACGGCCAAGUGAAACUGUCAAGCUAGAGUGCAGAAGGGGCAAUCGGAAUUCUUGGUGUAGCGGUGAAAUGCGUAGAUAUCAAGAGGAACACCUGAGGUGAAGACGGGUUGCUGGGCUGACACUGACGCUGAGGCGCGAAAGCCAGGGGAGGCAAACGGGG